CGUGGGACUCGGGACGGUCGGUCUCCUGCUGCUGGGUCGCUCGCAACUCCUCGCCCCCUCGCGGACCGCGCCGCCGCACGCCGGUGAAAUCGAACUGCUCCUAGCGGCAAGGUGCUGUCAGAACUCUAGAACUCGUCAACAAAACUCCAGAGAGU